GCACAGGUUUUAUUAAAAACCAAAGAGGAUGAAAAAAAGAAAAUAU
rfam:Elusimicrobium minutum Pei191, complete genome.